GGGGGGGGGGGGGGGGGGGGGGGGGGGGGGGGGGGCGGGGGGGGGGGGGGGGGGUGGGGGGGGUGGUCGGGGGGCGAACGGGGGAGGAACACGGGGGGAACCUGCCCUUGACUGUGGGAUGACUUCAGGAAACUGGGGCGAAUACCGGAUAGGAGCUCCUGCUGCAUGGUGGGGGGUGGGAAGUUUCGGCGGGUGGGGAUGGACGCGCGGCUUAUCAGCUUGUUGGUGGGGGAGUGGCUUACCAAGGCUUUGACGGGUAGCCGGCCUGAGAGGGUGACCGGCCACAUUGGGACUGAGAUACGGCCCAGACUCCUACGGGAGGCAGCAGUGGGGAAUAUUGCACAAUGGGCGGAAGCCUGAUGCAGCAACGCCGCGUGCGGGAUGACGGCCUUCGGGUUGUAAACCGCUUUCGCCUGUGACGAAGCGUGAGUGACGGUAAUGGGUAAAGAAGCACCGGCUAACUACGUG
rnacentral:rRNA from 1 species